rnacentral:lncRNA from 1 species
GCCAUAUUCUAACGAGCCAUUAGGAUAGAGAAUCUUUCCAUUAUCAUAUGAAUCAAAGUUGUUAGAUGGUUGUGAAUUCUGCUUACAUGGAUUGAGGAGCUAGUAGUCAGUGGUCGGUGCUGAGCCGAGCCUCGUGCCAAUGCCUAUGUCAAGGACUCAACCAUCUAUCAACUUAUGAGAGCUUCUCUCUCGGUCCUCAGUGCAAUUCGUUGGCC